CUACGGGGCGCACCAGUAGGGAAUUUUCGGCAAUGGGCGAAAGCCUGACCGAGCAAUGCCGCGUGAACGAUGAAGGCCUUCGGGUUGUAAAGUUCUGUUAUCAGGGAAGAACAUACGGAUUAGGAAAUGACUCCGUACUGACGGUACCUGAUCAGAAAGCUCCGGCUAACUACGUGCCAGCAGCCGCGGUAAUACGUAGGGAGCAAGCGUUAUCCGGAAUUAUUGGGCGUAAAGCGUGCGUAGGCGGUUCGUUAAGUCAAAUCUGAAAGCCCACAGCUUAACUGUGGAGGGCGAUUUGAAACUGGCGAACUUGAGUACGGCAGAGGUUAGUGGAAUUCAAUGUGUAGCGGUGGAAUGCGUAGAUAUAUUGAGGAACACCAGUGGCGAAGGCGGCUAACUGGACCGGAACUGACGCUGAGGCACGAAAGCGUGGGGAGCAAACAGGAUUAGAUACCCCAGUAGUC
rnacentral:rRNA from 1 species